GCGGCGUGCCUAACACAUGCAAGUCGAACGAAGCACCUUACCGGAUUCUUCGGAUGAAAGUUUGGCGACUGAGUGGCGGACGGGUGAGUAACGCGUGGGUAACCUGCCCUGUACAGGGGGAUAACAGCUGGAAACGGCUGCUAAUACCGCAUAAGCGCACGAGGAGACAUCUCCUUGUGUGAAAAACUCCGGUGGUACAGGAUGGGCCCGCGUCUGAUUAGCUGGUUGGCAGGGUAACGGCCUACCAAGGCAACGAUCAGUAGCCGGUCUGAGAGGAUGAACGGCCACAUUGGAACUGAGACACGGUCCAAACUCCUACGGGAGGCAGCAGUGGGGAAUAUUGCACAAUGGGGGAAACCCUGAUGCAGCAACGCCGCGUGAGUGAAGAAGUAUUUCGGUAUGUAAAGCUCUAUCAGCAGGG
rnacentral:rRNA from 1 species